rnacentral:rRNA from 1 species
GUCCACGCCGUAAACGAUGUCGACUAGCCGUUGGUCCUAUUUACAGGAUUAGUGGCGCAGCUAACGCAUUAAGUCGACCGCCUGGGGAGUACGGCCGCAAGGUUAAAACUCAAAUGAAUUGACGGGGGCCCGCACAAGCGGUGGAGCAUGUGGUUUAAUUCGAUGCAACGCGAAGAACCUUACCUACCCUUGACAUCCAGAGAAUCUGUUAGAGAUAGUAGAGUGCCUUCGGGAGCUCUGAGACAGGUGCUGCAUGGCUGUCGU